UUUUAACCGAUGUUUGGAUGAGGAAAUGAAGGUAAAGCUAUCUACGUUGUAAUUUGGUGAAUUUUACAGAUGGCUAUUGUGGGAGCCAAUAGGAGGAUUUUUUUUUAUGAAAAACGGUAAAGUUAAAUGGUUUAACUCAGAAAAAGGUUUUGGAUUCAUCGAAGCAGAAGACGGAAAUGACGUAUUCGUUCAUUACUCUGCAAUCCAAACUGAAGGUUUCAAAACUUUAGAAGAAGGUCAAGAAGUUUCUUUCGAAGUUGUUGAAGGAGCUCGUGGACCACAAGCUGCUAACGUAACUAAGAAGUAAUUUAUUACGCUAACACAUAUAGCAGUCCGGUGAUAAUGCCGGACUGUUUUU
rnacentral:sRNA from 1 species